rnacentral:rRNA from 1 species
CCUACGGGCGGCUGCAGUGGGGAAUAUUGGACAAUGGGGGGAACCCUGAUCCAGCCAUGCCGCGUGUGUGAAGAAGGCCCUCGGGUUGUAAAGCACUUUCAGUGAGGAAGAACGCCUGGUGGUUAAUACCCAUCAGGAAAGACAUCACUCACAGAAGAAGCACCGGCUAACUCCGUGCCAGCAGCCGCGGUAAUACGGAGGGUGCGAGCGUUAAUCGGAAUUACUGGGCGUAAAGCGCGCGUAGGUGGCUUGAUAAGCCGGUUGUGAAAGCCCCGGGCUCAACCUGGGAACGGCAUCCGGAACUGGCAAGCUAGAGUGCAGGAGAGGAAGGUAGAAUUCCCGGUGUAGCGGUGAAAUGCGUAGAGAUCGGGAGGAAUACCAGUGGCGAAGGCGGCCUUCUGGAAUGACACUGACACUGAGGUGCGAAAGCGUGGGUAGCACACAGGAUUAGAUACACUGGUAGUC